rnacentral:rRNA from 1 species
AUUGAACGCUGGCGGCAGGCCUAACACAUGCAAGUCGAGCGCGAAAACACUUCGGUGUGAGUAGAGCGGCGGACGGGUGAGUAAUGCUUGGGAAUCUGCCCAGUAGUGGGGGAUAACGUGUGGAAACGCACGCUAAUACCGCAUACGUCCUACGGGAGAAAGCAGGGGAUCUUCGGACCUUGCGCUAUUGGAUGAGCCCAAGUCGGAUUAGCUAGUUGGUGGGGUAAUGGCCUACCAAGGCGACGAUCCGUAGCUGGUCUGAGAGGAUGAUCAGCCACACUGGGACUGAGACACGGCCCAGACUCCUACGGGAGGCAGCAGUGGGGAAUAUUGCACAAUGGGCGAAAGCCUGAUGCAGCCAUGCCGCGUGUGUGAAGAAGGCUCUAGGGUUGUAAAGCACUUUCAGUAGGGAGGAAAAGCUUAAGGUUAAUAACCUUGAGCCCUGACGUUACCUACAGAAGAAGCACCGGCAAACUCCGUGCCAGCAGCCGCGGUAAUACGGAGGGUGCGAGCGUUAAUCGGAAUUACUGGGCGUAAAGCGCGCGUAGGUGGUUUGAUAAGCUAGCUGUGAAAGCCCCGGGCUCAACCUGGGAACUGCAGUUAGAACUGUCUGACUAGAGUACAGUAGAGGGUGGCGGAAUUUCCUGUGUAGCGGUGAAAUGCGUAGAUAUAGGAAGGAACAUCAGUGGCGAAGGCGGCCACCUGGACUGAUACUGACACUGA